GAUCAACCACAAAUCACAAAUCAAAACCUGCAAAAACUGGAAAAUCGCGCCACCAUGUUUGUUCACAACCUCACCACGAGCAGCAUCGCGCCACUGAAAUUGUGAAAACACAGUUCCAUUUCCUUUGCAAACACAAAAUAUUAGAAGUGGACUUUAGGCCUAACUCAACCUCACAAAACCGGCUUGUAAGUCAGAUAUGAUGCAAAUGAAAAUGAAAUGGUGACAGAUUUGUUUCAACAAAGGAGGAUGCUUAAACGUAGAUACUACCUUGUGGAGAGAGGUAGGUGAAAGGAAGAAGUGAAGCUUGUUGAGUAGGGAGGCUACACAAUUCAGUGGAGAUCUAGACGUGUGGAAACUACUUUAGAUCGUGAAGAUGAGUUACUGGAGCUGAGGAGUUGAGGGGUUUUAAUCCUUGUAAGGCUACAUGUGGUUGAUAAUCUCACGGUCUGCUCAAAGAAAGUGGAGAAGAAUCUCACGGUCUUGCACAAAUCCUUGAAAUUUGAAGCUCUCCACUUGCUGAAUGCCAUUCAAACCUCAAAAGAUUCAGUAUGCGAUCUUGUCUUACUCUGUUUUCCUUCUGGCGUGGUUUUAUGGCGUAGGGAUAUUCUAGUAUACAUGAAGAUAAAAUCUACUUAAAUUGAUUUCUUACUCUUCCAUGAGCACCACUCACGAGCUGACACCUCCGCCACUUUGUCAGCCUUUCUCUAAGUCGUGCCAGCGUACUUCCACCUCGUUCCUGUGAGGCUGCCUAUCCAAAACAUUUCAUUCAAUCAGCUUCUUGAGAGUUCUUUCAUCCAUUUCUCUCACGAGAGCUCUCCUCUGCGGAACCACAACUUCACUUGAACCACCGGACUUCUCACCAUUAAACCACAUCAAAAUCUUCCUCUUUUACAGAUCCAAGACAUGGACAAUCUUUUCAACCAGGUUUGCCCUAAAUCCACCAACUGAUUUCAUUAAAUCCUCUUCGCCUAGGGUUUACUCCGAUUAAAAUCACUUCUCCACUGUUCAAAUCCGUUUCCGCCUGAAACGUUUUUGACCGAACAGACCUUCGAAUCCUAGGGUUUGCAUCUUCCACUGUUUCUUCUGUCCGGUUAUCUGCUCGAUCCGUGCCAAAUCGAUGAUUCCUUGCCGGAGUGGACCUUAUCACCUUCGCACCCACCCUUUACACCUUACGGCUGGACUUAAUCUGCGUAAAGCAAUUUUAACAAUUCUUAGCCUCUGUGGAUUUGACACCAGUACAAAUUAUUGAUCUCAUCCCAAUGUUUCUUUCUUCUUUUCUUUUACACUCCUUCCACCCUUCCAUCUUUCCGUUCUUCCAUCUUCAAAUUAGGAUAAAUGUUCUCCUUUCCCUAGAACGCAAACUUUUAAGUUAAUGUGAUGCAUCUUCCUCCUCUGCCAUGCCUCAGGACGUAAAAAAUAUUUAUUUGGUCAUCUUAUUGAUUUAAUUUACAUGGAUGUGAAGAGAUUGAAGCAAUACUGGAAGAAGAAGUAAAAAGUCAAGAAGAUAGAGCUCAAAAGGGGUUAAAAAGGCACCAAGAGGAGGGAAAACGCGAAGCCCGAGCGACGAAGAAUGAAAAACAGUGAGAUCACCAUCACCGUUGGUCGCCCGGGAGACGGACGCUCGACACCUGGGCGUCCAAUUCUAACGCCCAGGCCUUAUAGAAGCCUCAAAUCUCGCCCAGGCGAGCUCCCUGCGACGCCGGGGCGAUACUUCACCUGGAUCAAGGCCUUGUUUUUGCUCUGUUUUGAUUCUUUCGGACCGGGCCGCACUUUGGGACCCAUCUGACACUAUUUAAAGGACCCCGGGGCUCUAGGUUUUGUAUCCCUAGCAGAGAAGAGCAUAGCAGUA